GCCAGACUCCUACGGGAGGCAGCAGUGGGGGAUAUUGCACAAUGGGGGAAACCCUGAUGCAGCGACGCCGCGUGAGUGAAGAAGUAUUUCGGUAUGUAAAGCUCUCUCAGCAGGGAAGAAAAAAGACGGUACCUGACUAAGAAGCCCCGGCUAACUACGUGCCAGCAGCCGCGGUAAUACGUAGGGGGCAAGCGUUAUCCGGAUUUACUGGGUGUAAAGGGAGCGUAGACGGCAAUACAAGUCGGAAGUGAAAUACCCGGGCUCAACCUGGGAACUGCUUUGGAAACUGUAUGGCUGGAGUGCUGGAGAGGUAAGCGGAAUUCCUAGUGUAGCGGUGAAAUGCGUAGAUAUUAGGAGGAACACCAGUGGCGAAGGCGGCUUACUGGACAGUAACUGACGUUGAGGCUCGAAAGCGUGGGGAGCAAACAGGAUUAGAUACCCGCGUA
rnacentral:rRNA from 1 species